UACGUAGGGUGCUAGCGUUGUUCGGAAUCAUUGGGCGUAAAGCGCGUGUAGGUGGUCAGCAAAGUUGGAUGUGAAAUCCCUCGGCUCAACCGAGGAAGUGCAUUCAAAAACUAACUGGCUUGAGAGUGGUAGAGGAAGGUGGAAUUCCUAGUGUAGAGGUGAAAAUUCGUAGAUAUUAGGAGGAACACCGAUGGCGAAGGCAGGUCUCUGGGCUGACA
rnacentral:rRNA from 1 species